CCCCAAAUAAAAUUCAUAGACCCCCGUCCCUAAAUCGUUUCCGCCUUACUCCGCCCACCGAAAAUCGCCUCGCGAUGGUUCCGAUGGCUCAAUCUCCUCCAAAUUGAUACCAUAGAAUACCCAUGACUCCCUCAUACCAAAUCCAUAACGAGAUUCCCUACAAUUUGGCCAAAAAUUGUCGAAUCUUAAAUCUAAGUUCAAACCCUAUAAAUUCAAAAAUCAAUUUCCAUUGAAACUGAUGACAUGCAUCGAUCCAAGCCUCUGGCCUUUCAUGAUUAGAAGGCUAAUUCAUCACAAAACUGAUGUUGUUCAUUUGUUCUUUACAAAAAAUAAGUGAUUAGCAUCAGUUUCGUGUGAGUCGUGAUAUCAAGGGUGAAGUCAAGCCUAUCUGGUGAGCUCCCUUUUGUUUUUCUAUUCAUUUUUUUAAUUUGUUUCACCUUUUAUUCUCCUUCUUCUUCUUUUCUUCUUGUUUUCUUUCUUGAACAUUCUUCUAAAUUAUUUCCAUUCACAAGUCUGUUUCCUUCAUCUACAUUAAUCUUAUUUCAAUAGCAUUUUCUAAAUUUAUAAUCAUAUAAGAAAGGUCUAGGUUUAAUUGAAUUGGUCGAGGCUUAUUCAAAAAUGUUUUGGAAGUCGUUAGUUCCAUUUAUAGUCUUAUAGCAGAUUAAUUCAAUGAAUCGAUAUGCUUCAGUUGUUAGAAAUUUUCUUAAUUUUGAAGUGCAUUUGUGUUAGCUCGUUUGUUUCCUGUUUAUACGAAUUUAGAGUUUAGGAGUGAUAAAUAAUAGAAGCUUUGAGGGUAAUUUGUGUAGUCUAGACUAAGGAAACCCGUCAAUAAUUGAAUUAGGAAGCUUCUAAUAAGUGGUGGGGUUUAAGAAUGCACUACUGACUAAUUUAAAGAACUAAGUUAAGUGGAGUAAAUUAAAAAUUAUUGAAAGGGCAUUUGUGAAUCUAAGGGGGCAUUUUCUACUGCCUAUAUAGAGAUCGGAAUUGAAAGAAGGAAGGGGGGAGAAAAGAAUAGAGAUAGAGAUCCAGAGAGAAAAAGAAACAAAGAGUUUUAAGAUAGAGAUUUCAGGAAAAAAAUCACAAACGACUGAGUCUACUAUUCCAUUGAGCUUCAUCAGGAUUUUCUGAGUUUUUUUUUCUGAAAGCAAGUUUUCUUAUUCUGAGAUUUGGAAUGAAUUGAUAUCAGUUUUUUUUUUGAAAAGUCUUCUGGUUCAUGAUUUGUUAAGAGUCACUAUUCCAUUGGUUUCUAAUUUCAAGUUUUGAGGUUUAUGAGCUUUUGAACCAAUUCUGAUUCAUCUGGGCUUGCAGUUGUUUUGAAUCAAGAGUUGUGGUUAUUUCCUUGUUGUUUGGUCUGUUGUUACUGCUGCCCUGAGUCUCAGGCUGAUUUUGGUUCUUUCUCUUGUUAUUAUUCAGGUAUACGCUUCUACUUCCACUUAAUGUAAAGCUUGGCUUGGAAUCAAAAAAUGGAUUUAUGGAGCUUUGAGUAGUAGUUGUGUUGUGUUUAGUUUACUUGUUUAUUUCUAUUUCAUUUAGGUAGUUUUGUUUAUUACCCCUCUACCCCUGAAUAUGUGACCAAGAGAUUAAUAUUCUGAAUAUUGUAGAUUACAUAAUAGUUUGGAUUGAUAUCUCUUUUAGUCUAAGCCUUUUAAAUGUAUCCAGUUGGUUGCUUGUUUUUGCUUUAAGGUCUGGAUUUGAGCCUUGUUUAAUAUGGCUGAUUCAGGAUCUUUUGGAUUGUUAAAUGUGUACUAGUUAAGGUUGUUCUAAGUCUGCUAUAGCAUAGACUUGAAUCUUGUAUGCAAAAUUUGCAUAAUGAGUUUCAGCGUAAGUGCAUGUCUGCCUUCCUACAGCGUGGC
rnacentral:lncRNA from 1 species